UUAGGUUAAGCUAUUAAGAGCACACGGAGGAUGCCUAGGCGCUAGGAGCCGAAGAAGGACGUGGCGAACAACGAUACGGCCUCGGGGAGCUGUAAGCAAGCUUUGAUCCGGGGAUGUCCGAAUGGGGAAACCCGGCUGGUGUAAUAGCCAGUCACUCAUACCUGAAUACAUAGGGUGUGAAGAGGCAGACCAGGGGAACUGAAACAUCUAAGUACCCUGAGGAAGAGAAAACAAGAGUGAUUCCGUCAGUAGCGGCGAGCGAACGCGGAACAGCCUAAACCAGAGAGCUUGCUCUCUGGGGUUGUGGGACGUCUCACAUGGAGUUACAAAGGAUUAGGGUAGGCGAAGAGGUCUGGAAAGGCCCGCUAGAAGAGGUAAAAGCCCUGUAACCGAAAUUCUAAUCCCUCCGAGACGGAUCCCGAGUAGUGCGGGGCACGUGAAACCCCGUAUGAAUCCGCCAGGACCAUCUGGUAAGGCUAAAUACUCCCUAGCGACCGAUAGCGAAGCAGUACCGUGAGGGAAAGGUGAAAAGCACCCCGGAAGGGGAGUGAAACAGAACCUGAAACCGUGUGCUUACAAGAAGUCAGAGUCCUCUAUAUGGAUGAUGGCGUGCCUUUUGUAGAAUGAACCGGCGAGUUACGUUCCCGUGCAAGGUUAAGGUGAAGAGCCGAAGCCGCAGCGAAAGCGAGUCUGAAUAGGGCGAGUUGAGUACGUGGGCGUAGACCCGAAACCGUGUGAUCUACCCCUGUCCAGGGUGAAGGUGCGGUAACACGCACUGGAGGCCCGAACCCACGAACGUUGAAAAGUUCGGGGAUGAGGUGGGGGUAGCGGAGAAAUUCCAAUCGAACUCGGAGAUAGCUGGUUCUCCCCGAAAUAGCUUUAGGGCUAGCCUCGGAAGAAAAGAGUCGUGGAGGUAGAGCACUGAUUGGGUGCGGGGCCCGCCAAGGGUUACCAAGCUCAGUCAAACUCCGAAUGCCAUGGACUCAUAUCCGGGAGUCAGACAGUGAGUGCUAAGAUCCAUUGUCAAAAGGGAAACAGCCCAGACCAUCAGCUAAGGUCCCCAAGUGUGUGUUAAGUGGGAAAGGAUGUGGAGUUGCACAGACAACCAGGAUGUUGGCUUAGAAGCAGCCACCAUUUAAAGAGUGCGUAAUAGCUCACUGGUCGAGUGACUCUGCGCCGAAAAUGUAACGGGGCUAAACACACCACCGAAGCUAUGGCUUGAUAUGAAUGUAUCAGGGGUAGGGGAGCGUUGUAUGUAGGUUGAAGGUGUACCGUAAGGAGCGCUGGACAGCAUACAAGUGAGAAUGCCGGUAUGAGUAACGAAAAGAUCAGUGAGAAUCUGAUCCGCCGAAAGCCUAAGGGUUCCUGAGGAAGGUUCGUCCGCUCAGGGUAAGUCGGGACCUAAGGCGAGGCCGAAAGGCGUAGUCGAAGGACAACAGGUGGAAAUUCCUGUACCACCGUAAACCGCUAUGAGCGAUGGGGUGACGCAGCAGGGUAGUGACGCGGACUGAUGGAUGUCCGUCCAAGCAGUGAGGCUGGUGUGUAGGCAAAUCCGCACACUUUAAGGCUGGGCUGUGAUGGGGAGUGAAAAUUACAGUAGCGAAGGUCAUGAUCUCACACUGCCAAGAAAAGCCUCUAGCCAGGUGAAGGUGCCCGUACCGUAAACCGACACAGGUAGGCGAGAAGAGAAUUCUAAGGCGCGCGGAAGAACUCUCGUUAAGGAACUCGGCAAAAUGACCCCGUAACUUCGGGAGAAGGGGUGCCUCGGUAGGGUGAAUAGCCCGAGGGGGCCGCAGUGAAAAGGCCCAAGCGACUGUUUAGCAAAAACACAGGUCUGUGCGAAGCCGCAAGGCGAAGUAUACGGGCUGACGCCUGCCCGGUGCUGGAAGGUUAAGGGGAGCGGUUAGGGAGUAAUCCCGAAGCUGUGAACCGAAGCCCCAGUAAACGGCGGCCGUAACUAUAACGGUCCUAAGGUAGCGAAAUUCCUUGUCAGGUAAAUUCUGACCCGCACGAAUGGCGUAACGACUUGGGCGCUGUCUCAACGAGAGAUCCGGUGAAAUUUUAAUACCUGUGAAGAUGCAGGUUACCCGCGACAAGACGGAAAGACCCCAUGGAGCUUUACUGCAGCUUGAUAUUGGACUUUGAUACGAUUUGUACAGGAUAGGUGGGAGCCUAGGAAGCCGGAGCGCCAGCUUCGGUGGAGGCGACGUUGGGAUACCACCCUGAUCGUAUCGGAGUUCUAACCUGGUACCGUAAUCCGGUGCGGGGACAGUGUCAGGUGGGCAGUUUGACUGGGGCGGUCGCCUCCUAAAGAGUAACGGAGGCGCCCCAAGGUUCCCUCAGAAUGGUUGGAAAUCAUUCGAAGAGUGCAAAGGCAAAAGGGAGCUUGACUGCGAGACUGACAAGUCGAGCAGGGACGAAAGUCGGGCUUAGUGAUCCGGUGGUACCGCAUGGAAGGGCCAUCGCUCAACGGAUAAAAGCUACCCUGGGGAUAACAGGCUUAUCUCCCCCAAGAGUCCACAUCGACGGGGAGGUUUGGCACCUCGAUGUCGGCUCAUCGCAUCCUGGGGCUGAAGUAGGUCCCAAGGGUUGGGCUGUUCGCCCAUUAAAGCGGUACGCGAGCUGGGUUCAGAACGUCGUGAGACAGUUCGGUCCCUAUCUGUCGUGGGCGUAGGAAAUUUGAGAGGAGCUGUCCUUAGUACGAGAGGACCGGGAUGGACGCACCGCUGGUGCACCAGUUGUUCCGCCAGGAGCACAGCUGGGUAGCUAAGUGCGGAAGGGAUAAGCGCUGAAAGCAUCUAAGCGUGAAGCCCCCCUCAAGAUGAGAUUUCCCAAUUAGUAAGACCCCUUGAAGACGACGAGGUAGAUAGGCUGGGGGUGGAAGUGCAGCAAUGCAUGGAGCUGACCAGUACUAAUCGGUCGAGGGCUUAUCCUAAA
rnacentral:rRNA from 1 species